rnacentral:rRNA from 1 species
GAUGAACGCUGGCGGCGUGCCUAAUACAUGCAAGUUGAGCGAUGAAGAUUGGUGCUUGCACCUAUUUUGAGAGCAGCGAACGGGUGAGUAACGCGUGGGGAAUCUGCCUUUGAGCGGGGGACAACAUUUGGAAACGAAUGCUAAUACCGCAUAACAACUUUAAACAUAAGUUUUAAGUUUGAAAGAUGCACUUGCAUCACCCAAUGAUGAUCCCCCGUUGUCUUAGCUAGGUGGUGAGGGAAAGGCUCAACAAGGGGAAGAUACAUAGCCGACCUGGGAGGGGGAUUGGCCAACAUGGGACUGAGACACGGCCCAAACUCCUACGGGAGGCAGCAGGAGGGGAUCUUCGGCAAUGGACGAAAGUCUGAACGAGAAAAGCCGCGUGAGGGAAGAAGGUUUUCGGAUCGUAAAACUCGGUUGGUAGAGAAGAACGUUGGUGAGAGUGGAAAGCUCAUAAAGUGACGGUAACUAACCAGAAAGGGACGGCUAACUACGUG